CACCCUGCAACAGUAAACCUCAGACUGUGCAGGCGCACACUGGGACGUACAGCGCAGUCCUGCCACCUAACACCCAUCCAUCCAGUCAAUACAGCACAGAGACCACUCCUGCAGAAUACACUCACCAAUACACUCAGCAAUACUCACAGGAGGCUAUGCAGCAGUGGUACCAACACUACCAAGCACAGACCUACGGCAACACUAGCCAAGAGACUGCUGCAGUUACUGAAAACACAAAAGAGCAACCUCAGGUAAGUACACACAUACACACACAUGCACAAUAUGGUAAUGUGACUAUUGUACAUUGUAACCCUCAAAAAUAAAUACUAAAUAAUGCCUAAAAUUGGGUUCAGAAACCUUGUGAGUUGAUUAGAAGCUAAUAAUGAAUUAAAUCAUAAAAAAAUUUAAUGCUUUGUGCACUUGCAUGUCAUGUGACCUGACAUCAGAAGGCCAUGAACAUACAAAUUUGUUGUUAAAUUAUUUAAAUAUUAACAUUCGGGGGUACUCUAAGUAAAUAAAAUGUCAUGAAAAACAAAAGAAGUCAAUGGAAAGUCCCCACCGUGAUGACAAAUGUGUUUGUAUGCAUCACAGGUGGUGGUCACCUCCUCAUACGGAGACUACAGUUCAUACAUGCAUGCUGUCAGUCAGUACUAUUCUCAGACGCAGAUGAACCAGACAGCUGCUCAAGUCUACCAGCACCGAGAUGUCAGCAAGGAGGUGGAGGUGGUGAAGUCCCCCUUGAGUGGGCCUCUGCACACCUCUCUGAACGGCACUGCUCAGACCCUGCUGCCCACCUACAGUGCCCUACCCAUCAUGCCUGGCUUCAUCACACCAACACACACGCACACACACGUGCCCAGUCCUGCCGCACACACACCCGCCGCAGCCACGGCCACCGACUGGAACAACUAUUAUUAUGUGAGUCUGUGUUUUUCUAUAUAAAUUGUGUGUGUAUUAUUGAAUGA
rnacentral:lncRNA from 1 species